AACCUCCCCUAAAAAUAAUCAAUUAUUAAAGAUUAGAAAAUACUGAAAUGCUUAUAUUUUAAAAUAACCACUCUAACCGUACAUUUUCCGUUCAGUCUUCCUUUGCCCUGUGUUUGCAGUCAUCGUGUGAGGGGCUGGCCAUGUUCAGCCCAGGCAACCCACAGCCAGAGAGGGCAGAGCGGGGAGAUGGGCCCUGGUGAGCACUGAGGCUCUUCAAACCAGCUGCCAAGGGAGUUGCAAGCUGGGUGACACAUGAGGCUCAUUAUUUAGUGGUAUUUUAUGUUCUUACUUGUCCCCAGUUUGUGUAGCUCACAGACUUUUUUUUUUUUUUUAACAUUUCUAUAGGGGUCAUUUGAAGUUCAUAACGCCAUCAAAUAUCAGUACAGGGUCUUCCCAUUAUUUACCGGCUUUGGGAUAUGUGCUGAGGAGUGGCCGCGCACUGAAGGAAUGUGACCGGUUGUCCCAAGUGUUGUCCUCCAACUCAAAAUCCGCAACCAGUUCAAAAGCAUUUGGGCUUUUAUGUGCCUUUCACAUAAAGACUAUGACACAGCUAAGCUAUUCAUGUACUAAUACCUGCCCUGAGCUGUGUGACCACAGACACCACCCUAUAAUGUGCCCAGUGUGUAGGAACUCUACAGGCUCAGAUCAUUCCACACAUACAUGCAGAUGUUGGAACUCCCUUGCACAGUGACUCAUGAUCCCAAGGCUGAGUGCUGAGGGCAGGUCAGUAGUUCAGAGCCUCAGCAUUGGGGCUGUAUGCUUGGGUUCCCAUCUUGGCUCUUUUGCUGAGGGGCUCAUAAGCUUGGGCACAUUCAUCUCUGUCUUUUUCUGCCCAGCGAAAGGUGAUAGUAAAUCAAUCAUGCCAUUUGUCUGUGGUGAUGGCCGAAUGAUUUGAUGUAGGUAAAGUGUACAGUAUAAGUGCUCAUGAGGCUUAAUUAUCAGUGAAAUGUCUUGCUUUAGAUUUCACAGCUUAAUAAGGCUCAGAGGCUUAUUCACGCCCAGGAUUCUGACCUCCCAAGUCAUUGUUCUAUGACAUACACCUGCUUGGCCUAAAACCGACCACUUUAUCAUAAUGCAGACCCAGUUUUGAAAGAAGCAGAUAAAGUUGUCAAAAGUACUGUGUCUGCCUCAGCGCACACUCAGUGCGCUCCACACAAAGGGCAUCACCAUCUGCCACAAUGGCCCAGUGGCCUGGCUGGCACAGACAGUGGCAGAGCAAAGGGCAACAGAUCCCUAAUCCAAUCACCAUGGUCGAUAGGGCAUCAUAGACAUUCCAGGGUGAAGGCACAAUCCACAUUGUGAGGUCCAACUGCUGCCAUGUAGACAGGUGUGUUUUUACAUGUACAGGAAGAUCAUUGAAGAUAAGUGUUUUAUAUCCAUGGUUAACAGAUGAGAUGACCAUGAAAUGAACACCAGUGUACUGGGUGGAGCAGCUUAUCUAUUCAGUCUUCUGCACUAAAACCUGUGAAACAAUAUCAUCUUGCCUUAUUUACUAACAAAUACAAGUGCCUCUAAACUUAGACAGUUUCCAAGUCAUGGAACUGAUGAGCACUUAGCUCCUGCAGAGAGCUCUGGAUGAUGGGUCGGGAGAACAAAGACACAAUACAUCAAAACAGCAUUAACAAGUAAACAGGUUUUCAAAGCUCUCUACAUGCAAAUUUACACAAUUAUCCUUUUAAUUUUUAUCUUCAUAUAUAUGUACAUAAUCUACUUGCUUCUGAGUAUAAAUAAAACUGUAUGUUCUUAGUUAAUAGUCUCUACCAAUUCAUUCUAUUUAUCUUUCUGAGUUGAAAUACUGCAUCUCAUUGGAUAACAAAAAAAAAUUUGACUAAGAUUACACUGGAAAGGUGAGUAGGUUGGGUAAAUGACUGUGAUUGACAAUUCCAUGAUUUUGGAGAAGUCCCAAAGCAUAAAAAUAAAUGUGUGUUUUAUUUCACACGUAGACAAUACACAUUUUUAUUACUUUAAAAAAAUAAUAUGUGAAUGGAAAUGACUUACUACAAAUUUAUUAACGUAAAUACACAUUUCACAAAAAAAGAAGAGAGGAAGGGAAAAACAUGUUAAAAACAAAGAGAGGUACAUUUUAUUGUGUGAAAAGCCUCCAACCCAUCCAUACUACUGUGGCUUUGUUCCAAAGUUUUGGAAAGUAAUGAUUUCAUAGGUUCUUAAUAAGGUUAAAAACUGCAUUAAAAUAGACUUUGCCACAUUCUCCCUUAGGGAAUAACUUAAUCUGUAGGGUGGGGGAUGGAACGUUGAAGGAUGCAGAUGUAAAAGGAAAUUAUAUAUAUAUAUAUAUAUAUAUAAUAUAUAUACGUAUAUAUUAUGAAGAUAUAUGUAUAUAUAUUAUAUAUAAUUAUAUAUAUAAUAUAUAUAUAAUUUGGGAAUUUGGGAAUAAAUUGUAUCCCAACUCACACUGGGACUACACCAGCUGCCACCAUGCCUGGCUAAUUUUUCGUAUUUUUAGUAGAGACAGGGUUUCACUGAAUUGGCCAGGAUGGUCUUGAUCUCCUCACCUUGUGAUCCUCUUGCCUUGGCCUCCCAAAGUGCUGGGAUUACAGGCCUGAGCCAAGAUACAUAUUUUUUAAAGGAAGAAAAAUUUCAAAGGUACUCUGUUUGGUACAAUAAUCAAAUAUAUAAAUUGAGGAAUAAAACAUAACCACGAAACAUAUUUAUAACUGCAUAUGGAAAAUACAGAGGAUAAUUUUUUAAAUAACAUAUUUUGAAAACCUUAACUAGGAAUUUGAAAAGAUCGCAUUUGACAGGCCAGUAUGAACACAACUUGAACGCAGCAAGACAGGUUCCCCAUAAAAAAAUCAAACACAGGGAAAAUGAAACCACAAAGUUUCAAUCUGCUCUGACCUUUGAAAAACUCAGCACAGACAGUGGCACUUAGGACCAACAGCAGGAGAUCCCUAAUCCCAUCACCAUGGCGAUAGGGCAUAAACAUUCCAGGGUGAAGUCACAAUCCACAUUGGGAGGUCCAACUGCUGCCAGGCAGACAGGUGUGCCUUUACAUGUACAGGAAGGUCAUUGAAGGCUCAGUGUUUUGUUUCAAAAACUGAAUCCCAAGACCAAACAUUGUUAUGCUGUGCUUCUUAAAAUAAGUUAUGAGAUGGGAAAGAGGGCACCCCAAAUAUAUAUAUAUAAUUAUAUAUAAUAUAAUAUAUAUAAUAUACAUAAUUAUGUAUAAUAUAAUAUAUAUAAUAUACAUAAUCUCCU
rnacentral:lncRNA from 1 species